CAGCUCUCCGAGUGGUAGGGGUGAUUAUUGGGCUUAAAGCGUCCGUAGCCGGCCUGGCAAGUCUUCCGUUAAAUCCAGCAACCUAAUUGUUGGGCUGCGGGGGAUACUGUUAGGCUAGGGGGCGGGAGAGGCCGACGGUAUUCUCGGGGUAGGGGUGAAAUCUUAUAAUCCCGGGAGGACCACCAGUGGCGAAGGCUGUCGGCUAGCACGCGCCUGACGGUGAGGGACGAAAGCUGGGGGAGCGAACCGGAUUAGAGACCCGAGUAGUCC
rnacentral:rRNA from 1 species